UGUAAUGUGGCUUAGUGGUAGAGUGCUUGCCUAGCAUGAAUGAAGCCCUGAGUUUGAUUUCUUAGUACUACAU
rfam:Dipodomys ordii contig_49532, whole genome shotgun sequence.